AAUCAACGCUGGCGGCGUGCCUCAGACAUGCAAGUCGAACGCGAAAGCCCCCUUCGGGGGGCAAGUAGAGUGGCGCACGGGUGAGUAACACGUAGGUAAUCUACCUUUGGAUGGGGAAUAACCACCGGAAACGGUGGCUAAUACCGCAUAAUGCAGCGGCACCUAAUGGUGACAGUUGUUAAAGCGGGGGAUCGCAAGACCUCGCGUCUAAAGAGGAGCCUGCGGCGGAUUAGCUAGUUGGUAAGGUAACGGCUUACCAAGGCGAUGAUCCGUAGCCGGCCUGAGAGGGCGGUCGGCCACACUGACACUGACAUACGGGUCAGACUCCUACGGGAGGCAGCAGUCGGGAAUUUUGGGCAAUGGGCGAAAGCCUGACCCAGCAACGCCGCGUGAAGGAUGAAAUCCUUCGGGAUGUAAACUUCGCAAGAACGGGAAGAAUAAGCCGGUGUCAACACCACCGGCGAUGACGGUACUGUUUGUAAGCACCGGCUAACUCCGUGCCAGCAGCCGCGGUAAUAC
rnacentral:rRNA from 1 species